CUAAUGCGCUGCACGAAGAGUUCUCCGCGGCCGUUCUGAGAAGCGGGGCUUUUCUUUCAAUCUGAUCAAUUUUUCGCGGCGAAGAAGCUCUUUUAGUCGAUUUGAAUUUCUUGAAACCUUCUAUGUUUCCGGUGUCCAUGGCUACAGAUUCAAGGAAACGCACAUUGGAGGCUUUGGAGAGAAGGAUAGCUUUUGCUAAAGCUGAGGUUCUUCAAAAAGAAAAGAAAAACAAAAAGAAUAUAAAUGAAAAUGGCAAACCACUUAUUCCUACGGAUUCUACUUCUAAAGAUCCUUCCCCGCAUUUGUUGCAUUCAUCUUCAGUCACACCCAAGAAAGGAAAUUUCACCUUUUCUGGUCAUACCAAUUCACCAGAAAUUGAAGAUGGUCCCGUAUAUGCCCAACUUUCUGUGCCUGUAAAUGUCAAUCUGCUCCCAUAUAGUGAGUUUUCCACCGAAAGAAGAGGUUCGAUUGAUGGCAUAUUGCAUGAGCUUCUUCAGAAGGGAGAUGCUGCACAAAAGUACAUGCAAGGAUCUAGAAACAUGAAAAUUGACAACUGGAUCCUUCUUGAUAAUUUUGUACAAGGACGGGUGCUUUCUUCUGGCUCUCAAACUAGAGCUUUGCAAAUCCAUUCAAAACGCUCUAAGAAACACAUGUCUAUGAGACAGCAUAAAAAGUGUGGAUCAUUAUAUCUUCCUCAAGAGUUCCAAAAAUUCGAUAUUUUCAAGCCAAUGCAUGAAAUGUGGAAAGAUUACGUAAUGUUGCUUCUUAAAUCAACUGGGAAGAAUCAACUGACUCAAUGUCUCCUAGGUGCAGAUCUACAUGGUGCUUUCAUUUUAGUUGUGGAGUGUAAAAUAACUUAUUUUACAGGAAUUGACGGCAUCAUGAUUCGUGAAACUGCAGAAGCUUUUGGGAUAAUUACUGAAGAUGAUAAAUUUCGAGUUGUUCCCAAAAAGGGUUCUGUAUUUGUAUUCCAAGUUGAUUGCUGGAAAGUCACUCUGCAUGGAGAUAAACUUGGUUCAAGAAAGGUCGGAAUGUGAUAUUGGUGAUGAUCCUUCUACUGUAGGUAACAACAUCUUGGCCCUUUUCUAUCGGUUUUUGAUGAGACAGAAUAUCCGUAAACCCCUGUGCAUUUUGAAAGUCUUGAGCUAUGGAAUGCUGAUUGGAUUGUGGCAGUGGAGAAGUUGGAGAUUACUUAAGGGUUAGUUGCUGGAAAGACGGUGAAUGACAGUGACUUUGACUUAUUAGUGGACACAUGCUAGUCUUUCUGUGCUGGUUUGAACUUCUCUCGUCUUAAUAAGUCGUUGUAGAUUUUGGUCCUGCUAGUUACAAGAUUGCCGGUUUUUGUCUGCAAUUGAACUCUCCAUUUCUUUCUUAAUUACAAAGUGGAGAGGAAUUCUGAGGAGGAAGAAAUAUGUUUAGCCGUCACUCAACAAAAAUUAAUUAAAUUAUAUUGAAUUAUACGAACUAGAGAACAUUCUUUUGUGAAUUUAUAUUGAAUGGAUCCAAUGCUAAAAGAAACUGAAAUUGUAAUUUAGUCAAAUAUUUAUUAUAACAUUGUAGUGUAUGGCAGGCAUGUUCAAAUUCGUUGAGACUGUCUGCUUAUAACGAACCUUGUUUUAAGGCUGUCAAGUAAAUGUUGCAUGCAACUGUAACUAUUAUUAGUAAUAAAAAAUCACAACCUUUUCCCUGGC